AUUGAACGCUGGCGGCAGGCCUAACACAUGCAAGUCGAGCGGAUGAAGGGAGCUUGCUCCUGGAUUCAGCGGCGGACGGGUGAGUAAUGCCUAGGAAUCUGCCUGGUAGUGGGGGACAACGUUUCGAAAGGAACGCUAAUACCGCAUACGUCCUACGGGAGAAAGCAGGGGACCUUCGGGCCUUGCGCUAUCAGAUGAGCCUAGGUCGGAUUAGCUAGUUGGUGAGGUAAUGGCUCACCAAGGCGACGAUCCGUAACUGGUCUGAGAGGAUGACCAGUCACACUUGAACUGAGACACGGUCCAGACUCCUACGGGAGGCAGCAGUGGGGAAUAUUGGACAAUGGGCGAAAGCCUGAUCCAGCCAUGCCGCGUGUGUGAAGAAGGUCUUCGGAUUGUAAAGCACUUUAAGUUGGGAGGAAAGGUUGUAGAUUAAUACUCUGCAAUUUUGACGUUACCGACAGAAUAAGCACCGGCUAACUCUGUGCCAGCAGCCGCCGUAAAAC
rnacentral:rRNA from 1 species